rnacentral:lncRNA from 1 species
GAGGGAGAGAGUGUGUGUUUCCACAGCAUAACAAACAUUCCUUGUAUGGCUUGUGCUGUUUACACACUCAGCACAUAGGGGAGAGGCAAAGAAGCCUGGGAUAAUGUUAGAGUCAGGUAUGACCUUGCCAGAGACCGGAUUCCAGUCGUGGGAUUCUCCUGCAUAAAGGCUGGAAGAAAUGAUCUGGGCUGCUGAGCACAGGAAGCAGAAGGAGCCCAGAGGAAACUGGGGUUCUUUCCAUACCACACAGGAACUGAGGGAAGCCUGGGAAAGCGAAACCCCGAGUCCUUCCAUUGCCGAGUCACUCUGUGCUCUUCAGUGUGUUCAGAUGUGGCCACUCUCAGAUGGGUGUGGUGAGCCUGUUUCCAUGCAGAAUACCAACCAAGAAAGAAGGAGAAAGGACAUGCAUUGUGGUUAAUUUAUCUGCUAUACCUUCACACUAGGGAAGCCCAGGGCAGACCAAUGUGUCCCUCCAGCUUUGGUCUCCCUCCUACUUUCCGAGGGCCUGGAUAAGAAAUGGGCCAGCAUCCUGCCUCUACAAUGUAUGCUUCUUCUCUCAUCCUAGAGCCUGGCCUCCCUGCCUAGUUGCACAGACAGAGACAGGACUCUGGGCAUGGAAAUAACUCUGGCCUGAGUUCUGCCUACAGGCUUGUUUCUGGUUAUCCAAUUGGGGGAGUGAAAGAAAAUUGGAAAAUCCUGUUUGUCCUUCCACAAAGCCUAGCUAUUACCAUGAUUGUGUCUGUAAAACCCAUUGGCAGGUGAGAGUUUCAAUGUUAAUGUUUGCACACCCACGCUGAAGAAAGCCAAUGACUCUAGGUGAAGACACAGGUCAGUUAGGGAAACAACAGAGCAGAAAAUAUACUCCACCACCACCACCACCAACAACAACAACAACAGCAAUAGCCAGUUUGCCUCCAGACACUCUUCCAUCUAAAAGAACUGGAUUCCUGAGACAGUACUGGAAAGUGCACUAUGGAAAAUCUGACACACUCUUCUAAAGUGUAUGUGGAUACUCGCUUUAUUAUUAUCAUUACUAUGCUUCCAAGAUGCUCAUCUCUCAGAUGUUGGCCUAGGGCAACUUCUGAUGAGUGGUGUUUAGCGUACUGACUCAGAAGGAUGCUUUGAAGCUCCCAGCAGCUUCUCUUCCAGUAAGAAUCUUUCAUGAGUUGUCCCGAAGCAUCUGUCUGUCCCUAAGCAUCUGUCACGGACUACUUUCCAGCACCGGUGGGCAGCUUCAGUGAUUAUUACCAGAUUCUACUCUGUCCUUUUUAUGAUGCUGGUUCCCUUUCUCCCCACCUCCGCCUCCCUGCCAUCAUAACUCCCGUGAAAACCGGCUAUCGUGACCUAGAAAAGGAAUCAGAGAAAUGGGUUCCUGCUUAAGAAAAUGGACAGAUGGGGUCGGUGAGAUGGCUCAGUGGUUAAGAGCACUGACUGCUCUUCUGGAGGUCAUGAGUUCAAAUCCCAACAACUACAUGGUGGCUCACAACCAUCUGUAAUGAGAAACAAAUAAAAUUUAAAAAACAAACAAACAAACAAAAAACAAUAACAACAAAACCCUAGGGGUCAGAGUGAGCAGGGACUGGAGCAAGAGGGAAAAGGGAAGGGGGAGAAGAAAAGAAGAUGGACAGAUGAACACUCCAACUCUACUCCAUGAAGUCUAUUGGUCUUUUCUGUGGAGGAGGUAGGAUUAACAAUGAGACAAUUAGAAAAUAGAAUUAAGCCAAGCUCUUGGAACCUCCUCUAGGAACAGUAAGAAUUCAAAAGGGGGCUGGAGAGAUGGCUUGGUGGUCAAGAGCAUGGAGUGCACUUCCUAAAGUCUGGAGUUUGAUUCCCAGCACCCACUCCAAGAGGCUCACGACUGCCUACAACCCCAGCUCAGAUCUCAUCUCAUCUCUGGUCGUUGUGAGCACCUCCACUCAUGUGGGCACACUCCCGCGCUGAUAUACACAUGAUUUAAAAUGAUACAAAUAAAACUUAAAAAUAAAAAGAGGAAGAUGGUAUUGUUUAGAUCCGAAACGGCCCCUUCAGGCCCACUUGUUAUAGAAUUGGAUAUCAGCCUUCAAUACUGCUGCCUGUCUAUUGAGAGAAAAUGAAGGACUUUCAGCCGUCACAGUAGAACUUCAGCCUGUUCCCCUCUGUCUCCUUGCCUUCCCAGCUGUCACGACGCAGAGAGAUCUUCUGUGUUGUGUGUUUCUGCCAAGAUGUGCUAUGCUGCCACAGACCAAAAAUUAAUAAGGCCAAGUGGCAGUGGAUCCAAACCUGUGAAACCAUGACAAAAUAAAUGUUUGCUUGUUG